UGUCAAGUAUUCGAUCAGUUACGCAGUUAUUUGUUUCAGAUUCAUGGUGAAAGGAGUCGUAACCGACAGGUAACUUGAUGGAAAUGAGACAGUGUCGGUAGUUAUUCAGUUAUUUGUUUCAGAUUCAAGGUCGGUGGAGGAAGCCGUAACUGACAAUCAUCUUGAUGGAAAUUAUAAGUAUGUAAGAGUCCACGUCCAUCUGUUCCCGAUUCCCUUCAAGCGAGA